ACGGAGUGCUUCGGCACUUAGUGGCGGACGGGUGAGUAACGCGUGAGAAUCUGGCUUCGGGUUCGGGACGACAGUGGGAAACUGCUGCUAAUACCGGAUGUGCCUAAAGGUAAAAGAUUAAUUGCCCGAAGAUGAGCUCGCGUCCGAUUAGCUAGUUGGUGUGGUAAGAGCGCACCAAGGCGUCGAUCGGUAGCUGGUCUGAGAGGACGAUCAGCCACACUGGGACUGAGACACGGCCCAGACUCCUACGGGAGGCAGCAGUGGGGAAUUUUCCGCAAUGGGCGAAAGCCUGACGGAGCAAGACCGCGUGAGGGAGGAAGGCUCUUGGGUUGUAAACCUCUUUUGUCAGGGAAGAACAAAAUGACGGUACCUGACGAAUCAGCAUCGGCUAACUCCGUGCCAGCAGCCGCGGUAAUACGGAGGAUGCAAGCGUUAUCCGGAAUUAUUGGGCGUAAAGCGUCCGCAGGUGGCUGAUCAAGUCUGCGGUCAAAGACCGGGGCUUAACCCUGGAAAGGCCGUGGAAACUGAUAGAGCUAGAGUACCGUAGGGGUAGAGGGAAUUCCCGGUGUAGCGGUGAAAUGCGUAGAGAUCGGGAAGAACAUCGGUGGCGAAAGCGCUCUACUGGACGGUGACUGACACUCAGGGACGAAAGCUAGGGGAGCGAAUGGGAUUAGAUACCCCAGUAGUCCUAGCCGUAAACGAUGGAUACUAG
rnacentral:rRNA from 1 species